CCUGGGUAUGUAUAAGACAACAACAGAAUAUAGUGUCCAGCUUUCUUUUAUCAGUCAAGUUGUACAUGAAUUCAAGACGCAUCUGUUGCAAGAUAUUUAUCAGAGAGUUUUCAUUUGCUGUUUGGAAUCCAGAUUCAGGAGGGUUAUUGGCUAGAAAGAAGAAAGAAGAACCUUGAAAGAGGGGAGAAAAAUCUGAAAACCUGAUCAUUUAGAAGACCUGACACACUUGCAAUAUAAAAUCGAACAACAUGGAAAAGCAUGCAGUUGAAAAGGGACUGUGGGCAACUCCUCAAUCACCACUAACAUUGGCAGUUGCAACAGUUGUUGUAGUAGGUUUUAUAUUAAUGCCAACAGGUGACACAAUAGUUGGAGCAGCAGCAGGAGGAGCAGCUGGAUUUUGUAUUUUAAAAUCACUGUGGGAAGAAGAACAAAGAAAAGACCAAUUAGCAGUAGCAGUAACAGCAAUAGCAGGAGGUCUAGCAGGAGCAGGAGCAGCAAAGUUGCGAUCAAUGGUAGGAGCACCGUCACUAAUAGGAUCAGCAAUAUUUGGAGCAAUAGCAGGAGCUGUCAUAGUAGCAAUAGCAAGAAAGUUGUUACAAAAAGUUGUACAUAAAAUAGAGAGGUUAAAAGAUCUCUUUAAAUCAUGUGUAGUAGCUCAAGUGGCAAUGGGAGCAGUGCUAUUAACAUGUGUAAUAAAUACCAUAAAGUGGGUAACAGAUCUAAUAAAGGGGGCAGUAGACAAAGUUAAAUCAGCAAUAAAAUGGAUUAAAGAAGCCGUAAACAAAUUAUUCAACACAUUAGCAUCAAUGGUAUCAGGAUUACCAGCAGUUGCAGCAGCAGCAUUAGGAUUAGCAGCAUUAGCAUUAGCAUCAGGAUUAGCAUCUGGAUUAUUUGGAGGGUUACUGGUACUCGCGUUAGUAGUUGCAUCAGGAGCAGCAAUUUUUGGAUCGCACAUGAGUGGACAAUCACAAGAAAAAGAUGUGGUGUUACCAAUUGCUGCUCUUUUGCUUUUUGUUUUAUUUUGUAUACUUACCUCUGUGGGUGUGUGGCGCUUUUGCUGUUUGUUGUUGUUUUUCAUGUGUUUUCUGUGGUUCACCAAGAAAGGCUAGCAUAAAAGCAAGUUGAUUGCAUCAGAUAAAAGGAUGAGAUCUGCAGGAUGAGAUCUGACUUCUUCCUGCAUUUCCCUGUGUCAUGUUUACCUAUUUUGAACAGCGAUCCAUUUAAUCCAGUGUGUCCAAACCUAAGUCUCAAUAUUAUUAUCCCGUCCCUCCUAUUCAUAUCCCUUCCAUCUUAUUUCUCACACUUUCCUUUGGACCCUGUAAAACCAUUGCCCUUUUCUCACUUCCUCCCUUUGCCACCUUUUAAGUCAAGAGCACUUUUUAAUAGUGCUCUUGACCUGACCUGCCCUGCUGAUGCUAACUGUCGAAUGAAUCAUUGUGCUUACUUUUAGUAAGUUCCUUUGCUAUCUGCUAAUGGCUAUCUGCCAUUUCAUUUCCUUUGACCACAAAGUGUGCUGUUACCCACAAUAAUCUACUGUAAAUACAUAAUUUGUAUUAUGUAUAGGCUAAUGUUUCUCACAUCUCUAUCAAAAUGUCUGGUCUGCUUCUAAAUGACUGCACUGUAAACUGAUUAAUGACAAGCUUGAGUCUGAACAAAUGAUUGCUCUUUGUGAUCUUAAAUGUACCAUAAUGCUAAUACUAUUGCAUGCAUUUCUAAUGUGUAAAAUGAUUCCCUCAUUGAUCCUUUUUUUCCACUCUGAUUAAAUUUUGUAACAAUAAAUGCUGUAUCACCUGUAUUCUCUGAUGCAUCUGUACUGUAUAUAUAACCGUGUACGUGGUUAUCAACUGGAUAGUGUUAUUUCUAAAUUUAAUGGCUGAUAUUGUAUCAUAUCUUAUUUUUUGAGAGAUGUGUCUGUCACUGACACAUACAAGUGUAUGUGUAUUUCCUACUCAAGUAAAGUGGUAUUUGACUCUGGUGAAACCAUCCAAUAGAGAUAGAUUGGUGCAGGUAUGAUGUCAGAACCCAGUCUAAUUAGAUUUUCCUGUGGGGUUUCAUAAAGGGGUUUUUCAGUUUAUGAGUAAAAUAAAAGCCUGUGGUAAACUUUA